AACAACCUGGCGGCGUGCUUAACACAUGCAAGUCGAGUGCGCGUGCCGUAGCAAUACGGUAUGGCGCACGGCGCACGGGUGCGUAACACGUGGGCAAUCUGCCCUCCGGUGGGGAAUAACCCCGCGAAAGCGGGGCUAAUUCCGCAUAACAUUCCCUGGACUUCGGUUCGGGGAUUCAAAGCAGCAAUGCGCCGGAGGAGGAGCCCGCGCCCGAUUAGCUAGUUGGUGAGGUAACGGCUCACCAAGGCAAUGAUCGGUAGCUGGUCUGAGAGGAUGGCCAGCCACACUGGAACUGAGACACGGUCCAGACUCCUACGGGAGGCAGCAGUGGGGAAUCUUGCGCAAUGGGCGAAAGCCUGACGCAGCGACGCCGCGUGGGGGAUGAAGCUUUUCGGAGUGUAAACCCCUUUCGACCGGGACGAAUGCCCGCAAGGGAGUGACGGUACCGGUAGAAGAAGCCCCGGCUAACUACGUGCCAGCAGCCGCGGUAAGACGUAAGGGGCCAGCGUUGUUCGGAAUUACUGGGUGUAAAGGGUUCGUAGGCGGUGUGGCAAGUCGGGAGUGAAAUCUCUUGGGCUUAACCAAAGGCUGCUUCCGAAACUGCUGUGCUAAANUGCGGGAAAAGCCC
rnacentral:rRNA from 1 species